rnacentral:pre_miRNA from 1 species
AGGUGGGGAUUAGUGCCAUUACUUGUGUUAGAUAAAAAGUAUUGCACUUGUCCCGGCCUGA